GUGCUUGCUUUGGCAGCACAUAUACUAAAAUUACAACAAUACAGAGAAAAUUGGCAUGGUCCCUGUGCAAGGAUGACAUGCAAAUUCAUGAAGCAUUCCAUAUUUUU
rnacentral:snRNA from 1 species